rnacentral:rRNA from 1 species
AGAGAUCAUGGCUCAGGAUGAACGCUAGCGGCAGGCCUAAUACAUGCAAGUCGAACGGUGGCAGCAAUGCCAUAGUGGCGCACGGGUGCGUAACGCGUAACCAACCUACCCAGAACUGGGGGAUAGCCCGCCGAAAGGCGGAUUAAUACCGCAUAAGACGAUAGACAGGCAUCUGUUAGUCGUUAAAGAUUUAUUGGUUUUGGAUGGGGUUGCGUGCCAUUAGCUAGUUGGGGGGGUAACGGCCCACCAAGGCGACGAUGGCUAGGGGAGCUGAGAGGCUGGUCCCCCACACGGGCACUGAGAUACGGGUCCGACUCCUACGGGAGGCAGCAGUAGGGAAUAUUGGGCAAUGGGCGAGAGCCUGACCCAGCCUUGCCGCGUGCAGGAUGAAUGCUUUCUGAGUCCUACACUGCUUCUGUCAGGGAAGAAAAAGGGGGAUGCGUCCUCCACUGACGGUACCUGGUGAAUAAGCACCGGCUAACUCCGUGCCAGCAGCCGCGGCAAUACGGAGGGUGCAAGCUUUGUCCGGAUUUAUUGGGCC